rnacentral:rRNA from 1 species
UACGUAGGGGGCGAGCGUUGUCCGGAUUUAUUGGGCGUAAAGAGCGUGUAGGCGGCCAGGUAGGUCCGUUGUGAAAACUCGAGGCUCAACCUCGAGACGUCGGCGGAAACCCUCUGGCUAGAGUCCGGAAGAGGAGAGUGGAAUUCCUGGUGUAGCGGUGAAAUGCGCAGAUAUCAGGAAGAACACCCGUGGCGAAGGCGGCUCUCUGGGACGGUACUGACGCUGGGACGCGAAAGCGUGGGGAGCAAACAGG